UACAUUUCUGUUUAGUAUUUUCAUCCAUAAUUUUUUCAGCUUGCACAAACUAGCCUUCGGCAGAGGUUUUGUUCAACGCACCGCCUGUUUAUGCUCUACCUGGUUAGAUAAAUUCACUCUCCUUCUCAGCCCCGAGAUGUGUUUAUUUUCUAUUGCGCAGACGAUAGGCAGAAUAUAUUCUGCAGUAAAAUAAAAAACGCAUCCAUUUUUGCUAAAAAAACAGGAGAUAUUUCAGACGCGUCUAACGUUUUUCCGUCCGUUUCAAUUUUUCUUCCAUUUUCAGCAGCGAAAUCCAAUUUUAAGUGGAUUUUCAAUUGAAUGUUUAUUGCGUGUGAACAGUUUCCAACUACAUUUUUUGUUCAACAAACAGGAAACAAGGACGUAAAAAAUUUUGCUUCAUCAUGGAUUACAUUCAUCAGUCAGAAGAAAAAACACCUUUUAAUCUCUUGAAAAAAGUCCUCAAAUUACCACUGAUGAUGCUGCACGCAAACAAAUCGACACUUCUGCUCCUAAUCGCAUUCUCCCUGACAACAAUAAUUUACUUCUCGAAGCCUAUUGUGAAUUCAAGAAAUCAUCAGGUGCCGAAAAUUAGUUAUCAGGGGGAGAAAGGCAAAAUUCUGUUGUUGGAUAUUGAAGCAGAGGAAAGCGACUACUUGUCAAAAACUGGAACAAAAAUUAAACAAGAUGACUUCUUGCAUCAAUUAAAAAGUCUCGACUGGACACACUUGUCGGCCCAAUCGUUCGUCGACUUUCUGAUCCCAUUUUCUAUCAAAGAACCCGCAGCUACAAUCAACGAAUCCUGCAAACCCGAACCCCUUCCUCCUGUCAAUAAACACCUGUGUCACGUUCCAAAAACCCAAAACAUAUUCACAGGGGAGUUGAAAGAGCUUCCUGGAAAAGUUGUUCACGCAAUCAAAUUAGGCUAUGAUGUGGAUGUCCUUGAAAUCCACUUGAAUGAACUUUAUGACGUAAUCGAUUACUUCAUUAUUACCGAAUCGCUUGAGAGUCACUACCAACAGACCAAAAAACCUCUAAUUUGGGAGCUUGUCCAACUCCAACCUCGUUUCAAAAAAUUCAGAGACAAAGUAAUUCAUUUCGUUCUUGAUGAUGCUGAUAUUGUUAUGCCAACACCAGAAGAGGGAAUUUUUGGAUCAGAGAGAUUGCAAGAAAAACUACGGUGGGAAAAGUUGAAAAAAUGGUCCGACAGACUUUUAUUGCUUUCAGAUGAUGACGUAAUUGGGUUUGGCGAUGCCGACGAGAUAACGAACCGACUAAACAUACAUAGAUUGCGUUAUUGUCGGCUAAAAUCUUCGGUUUUUGACAUUGGAAGUUGGUUUGCAUUUGGUGAAUUGAAACACGCAUUUGCUUCUGACUUUCCAGUUAUAGGACAUCCAUACACAAUAGGAAAUCCGACCUAUUGGAAAUUCGGAAAAGCGAAAAACUUUCAUCAAAGUUAUCCAACAUAUCAAAGAGGAAACUCUGGAGGCUAUUUGCUUGGAGGGGCUCAUCUAACCCAUUACUCAUACAUACCCUAUCUGCUUAUCAAAUCUUUAACGGCAACUGAAGCCGACAAAUCAUUUGGAAAAAUUAGAUCAAUAGUUGAGAAAAUUAGCAGCAACGAUAUCAAUACCAACUCUAAAAGUGUACUUAAUUUAAUCGUCAGGAAAUUGGAUGGAUUUAUGAAAAUGGUACCGAGUACGCGUUUUGUAGAGGUUCAGAAGUUGGUGAAACGUGAAUCAAAUUACGCAGAGGUUAUGAUAGUUCCUUGGUUUCUUAAAUGCAAUCCAGAAAGAUAUCCCAGCUGGUAUGGCCAUUAUGACGACUUGCGUUUACUUUAUAGCUAGAGACAAUCAAUUUUGAU